UAGGUGUAGGCGUAGCGAAAGCGAGUCUUAAUAGGGCGCAUGAGUUCGUGGGAUCAGACCCGAAACCGAGUGAUCUAGGCAUGGCCAGGUUGAAGGUGCAGUAACAUGCACUGGAGGACCGAACCCACAUCUGUUGAAAAAGAUCGGGAUGAGCUGUGCCUAGGGGUGAAAGGCCAAUCAAACUCGGAGAUAGCUGGUUCUCUGCGAAAUCUAUUUAGGUAGAGCGUCGUACGAAUACCCCGGGGGGUAGAGCACUGGAUGGGUAAUGGGGCCCC
rnacentral:rRNA from 1 species